rnacentral:lncRNA from 1 species
UGGGGAUCUCCUGAUAUAUAGCUGUCUGAACGAGCCUCCCCCUUCCUCUCAUCAUCUUCACCAAGCAGCCUCUCUUCUAUGAACCCUAAUGGCACCGCCCUUAAAUCCCCAAGCCACCAGUGGCGGCGGCGCCUCCAAUCACCACCAAAACCACCCAUGAACCUCCUCGAUUCCCUCAGUCCAUAUCUGUAACCAUUGGCUUUCGAAUAUCAACCAAUUGUCUCAAACACUAAAUAGAAAUUUAUGGCCAAUUCACAAAUUCAUCCAAACAAGCCCAAAUUGAUACCAAAUGGUCUAUUGAUCUUCCUCACCUCAAGUCUAGGGUUAUUUUACUUCGAAUCUCAGCGGGCCGCCCUCAAGUCCACAUCUGGGGUUCGUUUUUUUUUUUUUUUUUUGUUUGGAGAUUUUCUUUCACGGUAAGUCCUUUUUAGUGUUAUGACUUUAGUAUGAUUAGUUUAAUAGCUUCUUCUUCUUUUAUGUUGAUUUGUCAAUUGGGAAUUGUUCAUAGCUACUUUGAUUGCCUACUUAUUUGAGUUUAAUUCUAUUACAAUUAGCUUGAUUUUUGUUUUGUUCCCUAGUUACUAUUUAAGUUCAUUUCGAUUGCAGUAGGUUUAAAAGUUAUGACUUAUAGUUAGCUUAAUUAAUUAGUCAGAUUAGUUGUUUAUCGGCCAUAUUUUAAUGUUGUUCAUUGAUAAUAUUAGUUAUUAGUCGAAUAAAUAGUGUUAAAGGAUAGCAUGUUAAUGCCUGCUUGGAUUGUUCUACUUCUUCUCUUUCUGAUUACCUGAUGGUUCUCUAUUAAUGGUUAGCUUAGUUGAUUCUCAUGUUGAUAAUUAUUGUCGUUUUAUUAAUUAGUUUGGAUCGUUAGUUAAUUAUACUGGUUUGAUUUGGAGAAGUUGUUUGGGAAUUGGUUUCAAUAAGUAUUAAUCUUAGUGUUAAUGAAGAAUUUGUUUGGGUAUGGCUGAAAGUUCACUCUUUAGUUAACUGUAGUUAAGUUUAAAUAGGAUAAAAAAGGGUUGAGGUUGGGUAGUAAUUCUAGGGUAAAAACCGGGGUAGUUUGGGGAUAGAAAAGGGUAAUUUUUUAAUAAUGGUGAUUUUAACAAUGAGGGAAGGGUAAUAUAGGAUUUGUCUUGCUAAAAGGGUAUCCUAGAGGCUUCUAGAAUAGGACCUUAGUGUAGAUUUCAAGAGACUUAUGGCAGUAAUUUGGGUAACAAGCCAGGAAAAAGAAGAGGGACUGGAGGGAAAACUAAAAUAUGAGGGUUGCCCUUAGUUUUUCCUAUAAAAGGGCACUAAAUGCCUUGUAGAAGGGUCUUCAAUUUUUUCAGCCAUAAAACUCCCAUAGAAAACUCAUUUUCCUUCAUUUUAGUUUCAGAUUUAACCUCUUGAAUUCAAAAAAUAAAUCCAAAAAAAAUAGUAAACAUCUCCAGAAAACUAAAAAAUGAGGAAUCACUGUUUCAUUGAAGUUUUUCAGUUCAUUUUCAAGUGAUUUGAUAAUUCAUAGAAUUUGUGGUUGGUUUCAAGCGAGUUCAAGGUUUCCUUCUGUCAAUUUGGGUCAUUCUGUGUGUUUUCGAAUUGAUGGUAGUGAUAUUCAUCGAGUGUGUGGACUGUCGGCUGCGAGCUUGGUCUUUUGUAUUAUUUUCUGAAUCCAGUGUGCUGUUUGGUGGUUUUGAAACUUCUCUGAGUUGCGGAAUUCAUUCUGGAUGUAUUUAAUCCUUUUUGUGGUCUAUUGAUGUUACCUUGCUAACCUCCUCUUUCUUCUUUUAUAUUUUCAACAUCCAGGUACAUCUCUGAAUCUUGUAUUUAGACAGCUUUGAAGUCGAGAUGCCACAAUGAAAUAUAUUAUUCAUUUGUCUCCUGAAGUUCAUUUGCUCGAACUGUUUGGAUUUGUAGUUGUUUAGGACUAAUUUGAUGUAUAUAUUUUAUGAUUGGACGGAAACUUGACUGUAAUAUCUGGACUGCAUAAAUAGGAUUGAAAAUCAAAUUGUUUAAAAUCAGCUAUUAGUACCUUAAAUAAAGGAGGGUGAAAGUAUGGAUGUGUUAAAGUUGGUUAGAGAAUAUUGUUUAAUGUUUGUUCAUGAUUCAUGAUUCGCAUGUCCGCUCUUGUGAACCAAAUUAUCUGGCCAUUGUUUAAGGGCUGCUCAUGCUUGGGUUUAACCCUCAAUUGUGUUUGAAAUCCUUUGAAUGUAGAAACUGUUAGUGUUAGAUAAUACGCUUAACGCUAGAGGG